UUAGCAAAUUAUAGUCCAUUGUGUAGAAAUUUGACAAAUCAUAUUUUUCUUUGAUAAAGGAUAUUGGUAAUCAUGAGUGUAUCAGCAACAUUGAGGAGGACCCAGACUUAAUGAGGGUGGUGUACAUGCUGCAGUCUUGCCCCAUGGAUGAUGCUGUCCGUCUCCUAAACCCUAUCCUAUCUGCUGAAACCUGGCCGCUCAGCACUUAUGGGCCUCGUUUGACCUUCUGCCAUCAGGACUCGAGUGCUGCUUUGUCUCGUCCGCCUCGCUGAUUCGGCCACUCUGGCUGAGUUGCAGAUCCCCAGGAACAAAAUUCAGUAAUAGGAAACACGUUUAAUAGUACUCAUGGAAUAAUGAAUUGCCAAGUUAAUUUAAGAGGCGGUGCGGUUGGUGGCUGACCUGUGCUUGGAGUAUCAGGUAUUUCCAGUUUCUCCAGGACCUGGAGGAGUAUGAUACUGGCACCUUUUGUCUCAGCUGUCCUGCCCUUUCCUGUUGAAUCUGGACCUGAUAGGAAUUGCCAAUCGCUUCACACAGUUCAAUCUGCCAGCCUUUGCCCUGGGAACUCUCCUUCUCAUCCCCUGUGCCAAUAAAAAGGCCCAGCAAAUCCAGGGCUUUCUGUCUGUGUGUAACCCAGUCGCUGUCCUUGAGCAGGUGGAAGAGCUCAUGACCACCGGGGAAUUAGCUCCCUCACUUAGUUCCCUCACAGUCAGGACGAUGCUGACUCACUCGCUCGUGAGUACAUGAAACGCAGAGAGCAACAAAGAGGGAACACGCUGACAAACGGCUCACCUUCACCGAGCUGCCUUAAGUUUCUCAACAUGCAAAAUGGAGUUUCGGGAUGAACUGACACUAUUUCUGCAGCUUUAUUUAUCUUUUCACACUUGGUCUAUUUUAGGCUCAGAUGCAAUAUUUGCACUUAUCUAAUGUAUCUUUCAACUAUUCAUGUAAUCUUUUAAUAAAUGCUUUUCAAUAUAGAUUGUGUAGCGGAUUCCUUGAAAAAAUGAUCACGGUAAAAAAUCAAAGGCUAUUGUAAAGGGAGUGUUAGCGAAAAUGAAUGCGUCGCAGCAACACAUUGGGGCAGAACCUGAGAUGCAGGAAAUUAUGGUAUGUGAGCCAGAGCAAUCUGACUGCGUCACAUUUACGAUCCAGCGUAAAGGUGCUUGAAGGCACACAACACGAGCUACACGCUGAACAAAACUCUGACUUGUUUGUCCGCCUGGCCGCCCUGGGAGCGAUCCACGGAGGGAGAGAGUUCGCCUUCGCUCCAGCCGCCGAGCCAGGCGUUUUCUGUCUGGAAUUGGAAGUGGAGGACGGCGCAACACACGCACAGGCCGCCCCGCGCCACGGACUGUUGCCGACAGAGGAAUCGGAGGGCGGCGGUGGGACUUUGCGUUCAGUGCCGGGGGCCGAGACUGGAGGACUCAGCACCUGUGGACUAUUUGGAAUCUGGACUACUGAAUCAAGUUUGACUGGAGGACACUGUGUGUAGGUUUUGGAACCAACCUUUGAAGGAACAUUUAACCAGACUAUAAGAAAUGAUGAAUGCUGGCUACUCAGUCUACAGUCUAUGUUUUAUGGACAUUUAACCGGACUGAAAAGAACAUGAUAAAUCCUGAGGACUUAGGCUAUAGGCUAUGUAAGUUUCGGAGCCAGUUUACAGUCUGUGUUUGUUAACAUUUGGCUAGACUGAAAGAACAUGAGGGAUGCGGUCUGUUCAGCUCAUAGUCUGCUUAUCUCCAACUAGAUUGGUGUGUUUUUCACAUAGCUUAUUCCAGAAAUUGAUUUUCACAUAGCCUAUUUCAGAACUUAAUAGCUGGUUGAGACCUAGUUCUAAGUUU